ACCUGGCUGGCUCAGCUGGAAGAGCAUGUGAUUCUUGAUCUCAGGUUCAUGAGUUUGAACCCCGUGCUGGGUG
rnacentral:tRNA from 1 species